rnacentral:rRNA from 1 species
UACGUAGGGAGCAAGCGUUGUCCGGAUUUAUUGGGCGUAAAGAGCUCGUAGGCGGUUUGUCGCGUCUGCUGUGAAAACCCGAGGCUCAACCUCGGGCCUGCAGUGGAUACGGGCAGGCUAGAGGUAGGUAGGGGAGAAUGGAAUUCCCGGUGUAGCGGUGAAAUGCGCAGAUAUCGGGAGGAACACCGGUGGCGAAGGCGGUUCUCUGGGCCUUACCUGACGCUGAGGAGCGAAAGCGUGGGGAGCGAACAGG